rnacentral:lncRNA from 1 species
CCUGAUCCGUCAAAUCCUUUAAUACUGUCAUUUUCAUCCUCGCAGGUCUCGGAAACAUAAAGUUAACCGAGCCGCAUUCCUCGCAGAUCUCGGAGAUACCACUUCAAUCUGAGCCGUAAUCCUCGCAGGUCUCGGAGAUACCACUUCAAUCCGAUCUGCAUUCCUCACAGGUCUCAGAGAUAACACUUCAAUCUGAGCCGCAACCCUCACAGGUCUCGAAGAUACUGCUUCAAUCCGAGCCGCAUUCCUUGCAGGUCUCAGAGAUAACACUUCAAUCUGAGCCACAAUCCUCGC